GGGGAUGUAGCUCAGUGGUAGAGCGUCCGCUUCGCAUGCGGAAGGCCAGGGGUUCGAUCCCCUGCAUCUCCA
rnacentral:tRNA from 2 species